UACGGAGGGUGCAAGCGUUAUCCGGAUUCACUGGGUUUAAAGGGUGCGUAGGAGGGCAGGUAAGUCAGUGGUGAAAUCUUCGAGCUUAACUCGGAAACUGCCGUUGAUACUAUCUGUCUUGAAUCCCGUGGAGAUGAGCGGAAUAUGUCAUGUAGCGGUGAAAUGCUUAGAUAUAACAUAGAACACCAAUUGCGAAGGCAGCUCGUUACACGAAGAUUGACUCUGAGGCACGAAAGCGUGGGGAUCAAACAGG
rnacentral:rRNA from 1 species